rnacentral:rRNA from 1 species
GACGAACGCUGGCGGCGUGCCUAAUACAUGCAAGUCGAACGCAGUGGGGACGGGUGAGUAACACGUGGGUAACCUCCCAUCAGAUGGGAUAACACUUGGAAACAGGUGCUAAACCGAUACUGAUGGAUGGACCCGCGGUGCAUUAGCUAGUUGGUGAGGUAACGGCUCACCAAGGCCACGCUGCAUAGGCACCGGGGCGGGGUGGCCGGCCACACUGGAACUGAGGCACGGCCCAAAUUCCUACGGGAGGAGGCAGUGGGGAAUCGUCGGCAAUGGAGGAAAGUCGGACCGAGCAACGCCGCUUAAGUAAGAAGGGUUUUCGAAUCGUAAGACUCUGUUGUUGAAGAAGCGGUAACUAACCAGAAGGCCACGGCUAACUACGUGCCAGCCGCCGCGGUAAUUC